rnacentral:rRNA from 1 species
CGCAUGGUCUUCUGGGAAAGGGUUACUGGGAUGGGAUGGGGUCGCGUCCUAUCACCUUGUGGGUGUGGUGAUGGGGCACCCCGGCUUCUACGGGGAGCCGGCCUGAGAGGGCGACCGGGCACAUUGUGACUGAGAUACGGCCCCNACUCCUACGGGAGGCANCACUGGGGAAUAUUGCGCAAUGGGCGCAAGCCUGAUGCGNCGACGCCGCGUGCGGGAUGACGGCCUUCUGGUUGUAAACCGCUUUUGUCACGGAGCAAGGNGCUUUCGUUGAGUGUACCUGUGGAAUAAGCACCGGNUAACUACAUGCCANCANCCGCGGUAAUACAUANGGNGCGNNCGUUNUCNNNAAUUAUUGNGNGUAAAGGGGUCGUAUGC